AUGAUGCAGCGACGCCGCGUGAGGGAUGACGGCCUUCGGGUUGUAAACCUCUUUCACUAGGGAAGAAGCGUAAGUGACGGUACCUGCAGAAGAAGCGCCGGCUAACUACGUGCCAGCAGCCGCGGUAAUACGUAGGGCGCAAGCGUUAUCCGGAAUUAUUGGGCGUAAAGAGCUCGUAGGCGGUUUGUCGCGUCUGCUGUGAAAGACCGGGGCUCAACUCCGGUUCUGCAGUGGGUACGGGCAGACUAGAGUGCAGUAGGGGAGACUGGAAUUCCUGGUGUAGCGGUGAAAUGCGCAGAUAUCAGGAGGAACACCGAUGGCGAAGGCAGGUCUCUGGGCUGUAACUGACGCUGAGGAGCGAAAGCAUGGGGAGCGAACAGGAUUAGAUACCCUGGUAGUCCAUGCCGUAAACGUUGGGCACUAGGUGUGGGGGACAUUCCACGUUUUCCGCGCCGUAGCUAACGCAUUAAGUGCCCCGCCUGGGGAGUACGGCCGCAAGGCUAAAACUCAAAGGAAUUGACGGGGGCCCGCACAAGCGGCGGAGCAUGCGGAUUAAUUCGAUGCAACGCGAAGAACCUUACCAAGGCUUGACAUGAACCGGAAAGACCUGGAAACAGGUGCCCCGCUUGCGGUCGGUUUACAGGUGGUGCAUGGUUGUCGUCAGCUCGUGUCGUGAGAUGUUGGGUUAAGUCCCGCAACGAGCGCAACCCUCGUUCUAUGUUGCCAGCGCGUGAUGGCGGGUACUCAUAGGAGACUGCCGGGGUCAACUCG
rnacentral:rRNA from 1 species